rnacentral:tRNA from 1 species
GCGACUAUCGUCUAGUGGUUAGGACACUUGGUUUUCAUCCAAGUAACCGGAGUUCGAUUCUCCGUAGUCGUACCA